UAUCUCCACCUGUGCACUUUUUGUAGGCCUUUCAGGKCUAUGUUGCUUCAUUUACCCCAAUGUAUGUCAAUAGAAUGUUGUGCCUAUUUAAUAUAUACAACUUUCAGCAACGGAUCUCUUGGCUCUCGCAUCGAUGAAGAACGCAGCGAAAUGCGAUAAGUAAUGUGAAUUGCAGAAUUCAGUGAAUCAUCGAAUCUUUGAACGCACCUUGCGCUCCUUGGUAUUCCGAGGAGCAUGCCUGUUUGAGUGUCAUUAAUAUAUAUAUCAACCUUCUCUUUUUGAGUGGUUUGGAUGUGGGGGUUUGCUGGCCUUGUAAAGGGUUCAGCUCCCCUGAAAUGCAUUAGCAGAACAACCCUGUUCAUUGGUGUGAUAACUAUCUACGCUAUUGAAUGUAAGGGGCAGUUCAGCUUUCUAACAGUCCUCGGACAAUUCAUCAUUAAUGUGACCUCAAAUCAGGUAGGACUACCCGCUGAACUUAAGCAUAUCA
rnacentral:rRNA from 1 species